rnacentral:rRNA from 1 species
UACGUAGGGGGCAAGCGUUGUCCGGAUUUAUUGGGCGUAAAGAGCUCGUAGGCGGCUCGUCGCGUCGACCGUGAAAACCCGCGGCUUAACUGCGGGCUUGCGGUGGAUACUGUCGGGCUAGAGUGCGGAAGAGGCGAGUGGAAUUCCUGGUGUAGCGGUGAAAUGCGCAGAUAUCAGGAGGAACACCAAUGCGAAGGCAGCUCGCUGGGACGUUACUGACGCUGAGACGCGAAAGCGUGGGGAGCAAACAGG